rnacentral:rRNA from 1 species
GAUGAACGCUGGCGGCGUGCUUAACACAUGCAAGUCGAACGGGAAACCUUUUAUUGAAGCUUCGGCAGAUUUAGCUGGUUUCUAGUGGCGGACGGGUGAGUAACGCGUGGGUAACCUGCCUUAUACAGGGGGAUAACAGUCAGAAAUGGCUGCUAAUACCGCAUAAGCGCACAGAGCUGCAUGGCUCAGUGUGAAAAACUCCGGUGGUAUAAGAUGGACCCGCGUUGGAUUAGCUGGUUGGUGGGGUAACGGCCCACCAAGGCGACGAUCCAUAGCCGGCCUGAGAGGGUGAACGGGCACAGUGGGACUGAGACACGGACCAGACUCCUACGGGAGGCAGCAGUGGGGAAUAUUGCACAAUGGGGGAAACCCUGAUGCAGCGACGCCGCGUGAAGGAAGAAGUAUCUCGGUAUGUAAACUUCUAUCAGCAGGGAAGAUAAUGACGGUACCUGACUAAGAAGCCCCGGCUAACUACGUG